rnacentral:tRNA from 2 species
GCCCUUAUAGCUCAGUUGGUAGAGCACCUGAUUUGUAAUCAGGGGGUCGCGGGUUCGAGUCCUGCUGGGGGCACCA